CCUACACAGGGGGAUGACCUAGUAGCUAUGAAGAACACAAAGUUGGUGGGAAACCUGCUGGCCAAAUAUUGCUGCUUGUGAGAUGCUGCAAUUCGGAUUUCAGAUGACCAACUCCAGCUAACAGCCUUCUCUCUGGAAGAAGACCAUUCUACAAUUAAGUAGCCUGUUUUCAGAAGUCCUUCACAUCACUACAUUUUUUCAUUAUAAGUUGAGAAGAAAUGAAACCUUUGGAAUAAAUUGAACUGCGGAAGUUAAAAGACCUCUAUAAUGAAACUUGUAGAACACUCGAGAGAAGCUAGCUACAAAGAAGGUGUGGUCUAUCAUGGACUGUAAAAAAAGAAUAUUGUGAAAAUGGCCACCCAACCAGAAACAGUCUACAGAUUCAACAUUAUUCCCACCCAAUUUCAAAUGCCAUUCUUCACAGGAAUAGAAAGAAGCAACCCUUCAAUUUAUUUGGAAGCACAAAGGAUCAUGGAUAAUCACUGCAAUCCUGAGGAAAAAGAAUAUUGGCAGAGGGUGGCCGGAAAGUUGGUUCAGUUAGUAACGGCACUUUGCACCAAUACUGAUGACCCAAGGUCUAGCCUUAGAACCCAUGUGGUAGAAAGAGGACCAGUUCCUGCAAGUUGUCCUCUUAUCUCUACUCUCCCACUAGGCAUGAAUAUAUUUCUCUCUCAGAAAAUACAAUAAAUAAAAUUAAAAAUUAAAUAAACAAACACUGAAGCUAUCA